rnacentral:rRNA from 1 species
CACAGGUGCUGCAUGGCUGUCGUCAGCUCAUGUCGUGAGAUGUUCGGUUAAGUCCGGCAACGAGCGCAACCCUCGUUCCUAGUUGCCAGCCGGUAAUGCCGGGGACUCUAGGAAGACAAACUCGUGUAGAGGUGGGAAGGUGGGGACGACGUCAAGUCAGUAUGGCCCUUACGACCAGGGCUGCACACGUGCUACAAUGCUUGGUACAAUGGGAUGCAACACCGCGAGGUUGAGCUAAUCCACAAAACCAAGCCCAGUUCGGAUUGGAGUCUGCAACUCGACUCCAUGAAGUUGGAAUCGCUAGUAAUGGCGUAUCAGCAACGACGCCGUGAAUACGUUCCCGGG